rnacentral:lncRNA from 1 species
GAAAAGAAAACAAAAAAUGCAGAAGUAUGGAUCAAAUUUGGUGAAUGUCUAUUUUAAAAGCAAUACUUGGUGUGUCCCCUAGAUAUUUGCAUACGCAUAUUUUGGAAACAAAACUAGAUGAAAGGAAUGUCGUGUCAGAAAGAUAGACCACAAGAGUAAAGCUGGUGGUGGUUCGGCUUUUAAUAAAGUCCUCUGCAAUGCCCUGAGGCACACCAGUGUCAUCAACAAUCACAUAAACAGGGAAAUACGACAUUUUAAAACAUGAAGGGUGCUGGAAACCCAUCUCCUCACUUUGAACAGCCUUUGUUUAAAACAAAUGAUUUUAUCUCAUUUAUUUUUGUAUCUAACUCCCUUUUUAUAAACUGCUCUCUAGAGUAGCGUCUGACUAUUAACAACAAUCCCCUGUGUAAAUAAACGAGACAUUCUGACUUCUGCAACCAUUUUGUCUGUGGCGUUAAGUCAGUGCCCCCAGUCAAGACAAUUGGAAAACCAUUUGGUCUAUAACAUUUUUAAUAGAGUGAACCUUUUAAAAACUGCCAAAAAACUUCUUGGCAGAAAGGAAAGUUAUGUUGGGUCGGGGGGCAGGGCUCUGUUACCACAGUUUGUGUAAGUGUUUCCACACAUUGCUGUAUUUCAAACACAUAGUGGGCUUCAAUGAGCUCUAGAAUAUCAGACACAUGCUCAACAGAUUUCCCUUCUAUUGAGAUUAUAAAAGACAGAACACUUAACCUGAAGGCAGAAAGGGAGAAGGGGAUUUGGUGGCGGUGGGGGGGGGCUUUACUUGUGUUGUUUUAUUUAUUUGAUUUUUUUUAUCUGGAGGAAAAUGAUGUAUAAAAGAGGUGAUUCGUUUUGUUCUAAAUAAAAUACUCUGACAUUAAGAAAAAAAAAAAACAAAGACAACCACAGAGUUCUGGUAAGGAACAAGUUUAUACAACAUGUAUCCUCUGAGCUGUCCACUUAUAAAGACUUAUUUUUAGUGAUAGAUUUGGAAUUGAAAAUGACAAAUGCCAAGAAUGAGCUUCAUCAUUUUUCACGUUCAUUAAAAUCUACCCCACCUGCAAUUUACAAUGCAUAUCUCUUGCCCAACCUCAACUAUGCAAGGAGGCGGUGCCAGAGUGAAGGAGCCUCUACUACCAAAAACACCAGUACUGGCUACAGCCUCUAUCUCCUGCUCACUUGGGGAAUAAAUCAAUUUAAUAUCGGAAGGGAGAAAAGGCAGACUUGCAGAUCAUUUCCUUGAGGAAUGAGGAUAUUGCUGUGAGGCUCAUUCUCUACAGUCUGUGGUUGCCUUUCUGUGAACGUAAAAACUCCUGAGGCAGAGAAUAUCCGAAGAGCUGGUGUUAGAGCUGGGAAGGCCGGGAAGGGGUGAGGACAUGUCUUCUUCAUGUGUACCAUUGUUUUCAGCUGCCUGAGCUGGAUGGAGUGUGGAAGAACCUGAGAGCUACUACCAUGGGGUGGGACUGUCAGCCAGCUCUGGCAGAGUUCCACUGUGCCAUCAGCCAGAUUCUAGUCUUUAGCUCUAAUGUGGACAAAGAAUAGGAAACACUGAGAGAAACUCAAGUCAGUGUUUCGAGAAGGAAGCACAGAGAAUGAAGGACCGUGGUUGGCCUCAUACUGGGGCACUGGAAGUGAGUGGAAUUUGAUGAGAGAAAUCUGUGAAGAUUUUCAAGAAGAGAUGAAGAGAGCUGAAAAGAGAUGUUUUCAUCCCUCCCACCUCAUCAUGCCACCAACUGGGCUCCUUGCCUUCACUCACACCUUGACUCAGUCUCCCUCCUUUCUUUCUCUCAUUCCUAGCCUACUGGUGAAGCUGAAGACUUUCCCACCUGAAACUUCAGUGCUGCCCUCCUUAGUGCCUUUGACUUCCUCUGUGGCUACUACCCCAAUCAGCCACACCAGUCCUCAGUUCUGGAUCUUCCUCUACCCUUGUCUUCCAUCUUCCCUAAUAAUUGCCCCUGGCCCUCAGAAUACAGACGAAACAUGAAGUGGA